CGGGCAGUAGCUCAGUGGUAGAGCUCCCGCUUCAUAUGCGGGAAGACCUGUGUUCGAUUCCCGGCUGCUUCC
rfam:Toxocara canis scaffold125, whole genome shotgun sequence.